GAUGAACGCUGGCGGCGUGCCUAAUACAUGCAAGUCGAGCGAACAGACGAGAGUGCUUGCACUCUCUGACGUUAGCGGCGGACGGGUGAGUAACACGUGGGUAACCUACCUAUAAGACUGGAUAACUUCGGGAAACCGGAGCUAAUACCGGAUAAUAUUUAGCUUCGCAUGAAGCAAUAGUGAAAGACGGUUCUGCUGUCACUUAUAGAUGGACCCGCGGUGUAUUAGCUAGUUGGUGAGGUAACGGCUCACCAAGGCAACGAUACAUAGCCGACCUGAGAGGGUGAUCGGCCACACUGGGACUGAGACACGGCCCAGACUCCUACGGGAGGCAGCAGUAGGGAAUCUUCCGCAAUGGACGAAAGUCUGACGGAGCAAUGCCGCGUGAGUGAAGAAGGUUUUCGGAUCGUAAAACUCUGUUGUAAGGGAAGAACAAGUACGUUAGUAACUGAACGUACCUUGACGGUACCUUACCAGAAAGCCACGGCUAACUACGUG
rnacentral:rRNA from 1 species